UACGGAGGGAGCAAGCGUUACUCGGAAUUAUUGGGCGUAAAGGGCGCGUAGGCGAUUUGAAACGUCUUGUGUGAAAGCCCCGGGCUUAACCCGGGAAGUGCACAAGAAACUGUUGAAUUUGAGUUCCGGAGAGGAAGGCAGAAUUCCCGGUGUAGCGGUGAAAUGCGUAGAUAUCGGGAGGAAUACCAGUGGCGAAGGCGGCCUUCUGGACGGAUACUGACGCUGAGGCGCGAAAGCCAGGGGAGCAAACGGG
rnacentral:rRNA from 1 species